AUGGUGAGCAUUCCUAAAACCUGCUGGAGUUUCUGUAAGAAGCGUGGCAAGCACCACCCCCACAGAGUGACAUGGCCCAAGAAGUACACGGAUUCCCUGUAUGCCCAGGGAAAGUGGCGUUAUGACAGGAGGCAAAGUGGCUAUGGUGGGCAGACAAAGCCGAUAUUCUGGUAAAAGGUCGAAACUACAAGGAAGAUUGCGCAGAGACGCGAGUGUGUUGAGCCCAACUGCAGAUCUAAGAGAAUGCUGGCUAUUAAAAGAUGCAAGCAUUCUGAACUGGGAAGAGAUAAGAAGAGAAAGGGCCAAGUGAUCCAGUUCUAAUGUCAUAUUUUGUUUAAUUAUGAAGAGAAUAAAAUCUUGAGAUUAUGUUCA